rnacentral:rRNA from 1 species
GACGUAGGGCGCGAGCGUUGUCCGGAUUUAUUGGGCGUAAAGAGCUCGUAGGCGGUUCGGCAAGUCGGGUGUGAAAUUUCGAGGCUCAACCUCGAAACGCCACUCGAUACUGCUGUGACUGGAGUCCGGUAGGGGAGAUCGGAAUUCCUGGUGUAGCGGUGAAAUGCGCAGAUAUCAGGAGGAACACCGGUGGCGAAGGCGGAUCUCUGGGCCGUAACUGACGCUGAGGAG